rnacentral:rRNA from 1 species
AACGAACGCUGGCGGCAGGCCUAACACAUGCAAGUCGAGCGAGGACUUCGGUCCUAGCGUCGGACGGGUGAGUAAAGGGUGGGAACGUGCCCUUGGCUGCGGAAUAGCGCUGGGAAACGGGGAGUAAUAGCGGAUGAGCUAUCUGGGGGAAAGGUUUGACGGGGAAGGAUGGGCCCGAGUUGGUUGAGGUAGGUGGUGGGGUAAGGGCCUACCAAGCCGACGAUCGAUAGCUGGUUUGUGAGGAUGAGCAGCCACACUGGGACUGAGACACGGCCCAGACUCCUACGCGAGGGAGCAGAGGGGAAUCUUAGCCUAUGGGGGGAACCCUGAUCUAGCCCUGCCUCGUGACCGAUGAAGGCCUUAGGGUUGUAAAGCUCUCUAAGCUGGGAAGAUAAUGACGGUACCAGAAGAAGAAGCACCGGCUAACUACGUG